rnacentral:rRNA from 1 species
UGCCGCGUGUGUGAAGAAGGCCUUCGGGUUGUAAAGCACUUUCAGUCAGGAGGAAAGGGUGUGAGUUAAUACCUCACAUCUGUGACGUUACUGACAGAAGAAGCACCGGCUAACUCCGUGCCAGCAGCCGCGGUAAUACGGAGGGUGCGAGCGUUAAUCGGAAUUACUGGGCGUAAAGCGUACGCAGGCGGUUUGUUAAGCGAGAUGUGAAAGCCCCGGGCUCAACCUGGGAACUGCAUUUCGAACUGGCAAACUAGAGUGUGAUAGAGGGUGGUAGAAUUUCAGGUGUAGCGGUGAAAUGCGUAGAGAUCUGAAGGAAUACCGAUGGCGAAGGCAGCCACCUGGGUCAACACUGACGCUCAUGUACGAAAGCGUGGGGAGCAAACGGGAUUAGAUACCCCGGUAGUCCACGCCGUAAACGAUGUCUACUAGAAGCUCGGA